rnacentral:tRNA from 1 species
GGGGCGCUAGCUCAACAGCAGAGCAACCGGCUCUUAACCGGUCGAUCGGGGUGCGACUCCCUGGCGCUUCAUCA